UCGUCUUCCACUGCCGUCCUGAGGGGAGCAGCCAUAGCAGUUCGGGGGUUGCUGUAAUCUGGCUCCAUCUGGCUCCAUCCUGCUCUGGGGUGCUGCAGGGCAGUUGUGAGAGCUGAGCUCCAAGGAUGGUGCGCUACUCACUGGAUCCAGAGAACCCCACCAAGUCAUGCAAGUCCAGGGGCUCCAACCUGCGUGUGCACUUCAAGAACACUCGUGAGACUGCCCA